GAUGAACGCUGGCGGCGUGCCUAAUACAUGCAAGUCGAGCGAACAGACGAUGAGCUUGCGCCUCUGACGUUAGCGGCGGACGGGUGGGUAACACGUGGAUAACCUACCUAUAAUUCUGGGAGAACUUCGGGAAACCGGAGCUAAUACCGGCUAAUAUAUUGAACCGCAGGGAUCAAUAGUGAAAGACGGUUUUGCUGUCACUUAUAGACGGAUCCGUGUCGGAUUAGCUAGUUGGUAAGGGAACGGCCAACCAAGGCGACGAUGCGGAGCCGACCCGAUAGGAUUGUCCGGCACACUGGAACUGGGACACGGUCCCGACCUCUACGGGAGGCCGCAGUGGGGAAUAUUGGACAAUUGGGCGAAGGCCUGUCCAGGCAUCCCGGCUUGGGUAAGAAGGGUCUCCGGUUCGUAAGCCCCUGUUUUGGGAAAGAAAAGCAUCAGUUUAAUACCCUGCUGGUCUGACGGUAACCUAAGAAGAAGGCCCCGCUUACUUCGUG
rnacentral:rRNA from 1 species